UAACUGACAGUAACCCUCUCAAUGUCUGGCUCCUGAUCAGCCCAUCCUAGAACCAUCCACAGCAUCUCUUGGAACUUGACAACUGAGCACGCUUGCACAUGACAACAUCCCCGCCGAGCAGUCCUUCAGCAGCCCAGUUAUCUGUGCUAUUGGGCAGUGGUUGCACAAUGGGAGAUAGGAACAGCAGCAUGGCGAGCCCUGAAGAAAGAACAAGCUGCAAACACCUGUGCACAGCCAGGGUGUCACGGAGCUGCCUCUCCAGAGCCUUGAGCGGCCCAGCAGCUUGCACUGAGCUCUGUCACACCAUGCAGCCCAGGACUAACAUUCCUAGAUUCCAUCUCGUUCUGUCUUCAGAAGUUGGUUUUUCCUGAAAACACCACAGCAUUUGAAGUUAAAGGACAAGCAAAUGAAAGGUUUGAUGUCUGACUUUCAGAGCGCACAAAGUGUACCAGCGGAGGGAGGGUGUCCCUUCUGACACUGAAGAACAGCUACAGCCACAGCCAGAGAUGGGCAGAGGGUAAGAUGCCUGCCUGGUGAUCGUUUGGUGUUAGUUCUCCUUCCGCCAUCACUAUCAUUCUGACGGCCGGCUGGAGGCAGACUCUCUUAUUUGAGAAAAAAAAAAAAAAUCAAAACAAAACACCGGGGAACCAAUA